GAUGAACGCUGGCGGUAUGCCUAACACAUGCAAGUCGGACGGACACCUUCGGGUGUCAGUGGCGGACGGGUGAGUAACGCGUAGGAAUCUACCCCUAGGAGGGGGAUAACAGCUGGAAACGGCUGCUAAUACCCCAUACAGGCGCGAGCUGAAAGGAGCAAUCCGCCUAGGGAUGAGCCUGCGUCGGAUUAGCUAGUUGGUGGGGUAAUGGCCUACCAAGGCGACGAUCCGUAGCGGGUCUGAGAGGAUGGCCCGCCACACUGGGACUGAGACACGGCCCAGACUCCUACGGGAGGCAGCAGUGGGGAAUUUUCCGCAAUGGGCGAAAGCCUGACGGAGCAAUACCGCGUGAGGGAGGAAGGCCUUUGGGUUGUAAACCUCUUUUCUGGGGGACGAAGGAGUGACGGUACCCCAGGAAUAAGCCUCGGCUAACUCUGUGCCAGCAGCCGCGGUAAGACAGAGGAGGCGAGCGUUAUCCGGAGUUAUUG
rnacentral:rRNA from 1 species